rnacentral:rRNA from 1 species
GCACGAGAAAGGGAGCAAUCCCAAGUACAGUGGCGUACGGGUGAGUAACACGUGGAUCAUCUACCUCUGGGUGGGGAAUACCCCCGGGAAACUGGGGACAAUUCCGCAUGCGCUCGCAAGAGGAAAGCCGAAAGGCGCCCGGAGAGGAGUCCGCGGCUGAUUAGCUGGUUGGCGGGGUAAUGGCCCACCAAGGCGAAGAUCGGUAGCCGGCCUGAGAGGGCACACGGCCACACUGGCACUGAAACACGGGCCAGACUCCUACGGGAGGCAGCAGUGGGGAAUCUUGCACAAUGGGGGAAACCCUGAUGCAGCGACGCCGCGUGAGCGAUGAAGCCCUUCGGGGUGUAAAGCUAUUUCGACGGGAACGAUAAUGACGGUACCCGAAGAAGAAGCUGCGGCUAACUACGUG